AAUAUGUAUAGUUUUUUCCUCUGCAUUGUCAAAAUUCAAUAAAAUAGUGAAUUAAUAUAAUUUGCCGCGUGUGCUACUGGUCUUUGUGCUACUGGUCUUUUGAACUGUGUGAUCCUCUCGGGCUCUUGAGCCCCCGAUUACUGCGCCCGCUUUUGCUAUGAUGCUUUACUUCAUGUAACCCUGGCAAAAUGAAUAGGAAUUCAGGAAUUGAAAGCGAACGCUAAAUUGUCAAAACAACGUAUGUCACGCGAAUUACAACGAUCGGCGAGAAACUCGGCAAUUGUUUGGUGCAACUAGAAGCUCCUAUUUCAUUAAUAUGUAUUGAACCAAACAAAUUUCAUUAAUAUUUGUCACAUGAGCCUUAUUUGAAGAAUACAACUAUUAAAACACUACAGAAACCGGGACAAUAAGAAGAAAACCGGGACACCGGGACAACAUAGUCCAAACCGGGACAGUCCCGGGUAAACCGGGACGGUUGGAAUGUUUGUUAAAUACCCUUUUAUUAUACCCUGUGACUAUUAGACCGGCAGCCAGUCACGUUUCAAAAUGUACUAAAUGACCGGCAGUCUGGUAUUUAGAGUUAAAGUCAUGUUUAAAACACGGGCUCGAUCAUUGUGAACAACACAAUUUAUAAUGCCAGUCAUUUAGACAUUUUGAAACAUGACCGGCUGCGGGUCAAAUAGUCACUCUGUUUAUUAUAAGACUAAUCUUGUGGUUUCAACUCUAUACGACAACAGGACCCAACAGGAACUUGUCGAAAACCCUGAAAAAGCACUGACAACAUCAACUGCUGAUGAGCCAGAUCUAUGUUGAACCUUGCACAUCUACAGAACAAGGAGAAAUGGUACGGUUGUUGGUGUGGUCUCAUUUUUUAUACACUGGGGGGAUUUGAACUUUUGAAAAUUUGAUUGUUCAAAUUCCCCACCCCCCUGGCAAAAAGUGUGUUCAAAUACCAAACUAAAACAAAAAAAUUAAUGGGAAAAUUCCCUGUGCCAAGGAAAUAUUUAUGAAACUGUCAAAUGAAUACAGAACACUGUUUUUAAUGUAUACGACAUUCAUAGAUGUUAGAUUUCAAUUUCCGCCAUCUUGUCUUAAGUUAACUUUUCAGACCGAAUGACUGAAGUUCUUGCUCCAGAUAGAGCUGACUGACAAAAACGUGCAAAUUGUGAUUUAGAUUUAAAUUCCCCACCACAAAGAUUCAGAAUGUCAAAUUCCCUACUCCAAGGAGCCACCUUAAAGUCGAAUGCCCGGGGUAUGCCGGGGGGGGGCAUUGUUUCAAAUUGAUUGUACAUACAUUAGACAAUAGAACUAGCCAGUACUGUAAUUAUAGUUAAUGUUGACAAUAUUUUAUAAUUUCAGUCCCUGCUGUUACAGUCAGUAGCAAGAAAAAAGCAUCCAAACCAAGAAAUCCACCAAAGUGAAGUGUAUGCAAGCAGCCAAUGAAAGGCCACAAAAUUGUGACUAAUUAUCCACGGAACAACAAGGCCUAACAAUAUUUUACAUAAAUAUUUAACAUUCAAAUAAACUUAUAAGCUUUCAUUGUCUGUUUCCAAGUCAUCAUCACCUUCAAAUUCAUCACCAUUCUUGUUGUUAUGUGUCAAAUGUAUUGCAGUAUAUGCAGUGGUAUACGUCGGUCCUUUAAUUUGCCGUGAAUCAUGUGGGUAAACUGCCUAUAUGCAACAACUCGAAGAAAUCUACAAUAUAAUAAAAAGAAUAUUUCUUGGUUCAAUUUUAUACACUAUACGAGUAGAAAUCUGG